GCAGUCGUUGCGCAGGCACUUUGGUGACUCUAGAUAACCUCUGGUCGAUCGCACGUCCACGUGAUGGCGACAACGCAUUCGGAUGUCUGCCCUAUCAACUUUCGAUGGUAAUUUCUGUGCCAAGCAUGGUGACCAUGGGUAACGGGGAAUCAGGGUUCGAUUCCGGAGAGGGAGCCUGAGAAAUGGCUACCACACCCAAGGAAGGUAGCAAGCGCACAAAUUACCCACUCCCGACGCGUGGAGGUAGUGAC
rnacentral:rRNA from 1 species